AGUGAACGCUGGCGGUAGGCCUAACACAUGCAAGUCGAACGGCAGCACAGUAAGGGCUUGCUCUUACGGGUGGCGAGUGGCGGACGGGGGGGGAAUACAUCGGAAUCUACUUUUUCGUGGGGGAUAGCGUAGGGAAACUUACGCUAAUACCGCAUACGACCUACGGGUGAAAUCAGGGGAUCUUCGGACCUGGCGCGAUUAAGUGAGCCGAUGGCGGGUUAGCUAGUUGGCGGGGUAAAGGCACACCAAGGCGACGAUCGGUAGUUGGGCUGAGAGGAUGAUCAGCUCCCCUGCACUUGUGCCAAGGCCCAGACUACUACGGGAGGCAGCAGUGGGGAAUAUUGGACAAUGGGCGCAAGCCUGAUCCAGCCCUACCGCGUGGGUGAAGAAGGCCUUCGCGUUGUAAAGCUCUUUUGUUGGGAAAGAAAAACAGCCGGUUACUCCCCCGCUGUUCUGACGGUACCCUACGAAUAAGCACCGGCUAACUUCGUG
rnacentral:rRNA from 1 species